rnacentral:rRNA from 1 species
UACGGAGGGUGCGAGCGUUGUCCGGAAUCACUGGGCGUAAAGGGCGCGUAGGCGGCCUGAUAAGUAGGGGGUGAAAUCCUGCGGCUUAACCGCAGGGCUGCCUUCUAAACUGUCAGGCUAGAGCACAGUAGAGGCAGGUGGAAUUCCCGGUGUAGCGGUGGAAUGCGUAGAGAUCCGGAGGAACACCAGUGGCGAAGGCGGCCUUCUGGGUCCGCCCUGACGCUGAGGCGCGAAAGCGUGGGGAGCGAACGGG